rnacentral:antisense_RNA from 1 species
UCUGGAUGGCGGCGGCCGCGGCUCCGCCCCGGGUUCCCACCUCCUGAAGGGCGAGAGACAAGCCCGACCUGCUACGGAUGUGGAAACAGCAAGAGAACUAGAAUUGGAAGUAAAGCGUUGAAGAUGUGACUGAAUUGCUGCAAUCUCAUGAUCAAAUUUGAAUGGAUGAGGAGUUGCUUCUUAGGGAUAAGCUAAGAAAGUGGUUUCUUGAGAUGGAAUCUACUGGUUGCUCCUUGAGGGCAGGACAGUUCUUAUGGCUUUAUCUGUUGCUUAAGCACAGAGAGAGGUCUGUGAGGUCAAAACUGUUGUCAUGAUAGCAAGAUGCUUGUCUUUUUCAUUUAUUCUCACAGUGUGCAGAGGCUACAUGAUUUGUGAUGACAUCCUCAUUGUUGUUAAUGAAUGGUGCUAUACUUGAAUUUUCUAAGGUGUCGUUAGGUAGGUUUAGGUAUGCAUACUUGUUUUUAGAAAUUAUUUUUUCCCCUUUUCCCAUUUUUAGAAAUCAACUCAUUUUUUAGCCUUCAGUAAUCUUUGCAACCUCAAUAUUGUGCAAUUGUUAGUUUAAAAUACUGUAGUUUUCUUUG